CUAAUAAAAGAAAAAAAAAAUCUCACCCAGCUCUUCGCACGCACGGGCUCCGACCGACGCAAACCUCUUCCCCCGCUCCGCCGCCGCCGCCGCCGCUCUAGCUCGCUCGCGCGAAGGCGGAGCUGGUGGAGACGAGCAUGGGGGUGGUGCGGGAGGUGCUGGGCGACUCUGUCGCCGACGAGGUGGACGACCCCAUCGUCUCCUACAUCGCCAACGCCCUCGCCGAUCAGGACUUCGACUUCGGCCCCUCCGAUGGGCACGGCAACUUCGACGCCCUCGGCGACCUCCUCAUCGACGCCCGCUACGUCUACGACCGCCCGCGAGCACUGCCUCGAGGUCUGCACUAUGAGAAAUUGUGAAGCCGUGCGCAGCCUUGCCACCCUCUGCGCAUGAACACGGGGAUGGAGGAGGAGGUCGCGCUGAGGAAGUCAGAGAAUAUCUUCGAUGCGCCCUUGCUGUCCUGUCGUGACAAAGCCAAGAUUGAACGGAACAAGAGAAACCAAGAGAGGCAAAGAGAGGGCCAGUACCAAAUGCAUGUUGCCGAAAUUAGGGUACUCAGAGCUGGAAUGCCUCCAGUUGGAAGAGUUCUUUUUGGAAUAUUUUUGGAGGUUGUGAUCUUAUUCAAGAUGUCACCUUAACGCUCGCUUUUGGAAGGCACAUUGGUCUUGUUGGAAGAAAUGGUACUGGAAAGACUCCUCUUCUCAGAGCUAUGGCUCAUCAUGCAAUUGAUGGAAUUCCUAAGAACUGCCAGAUAUUGCAUGUUGAACAAGAGGUCACGGGUGAUGACACAACAGCUUUGCAGUGUGCACUGAAUGCUGAUGUUGAGCGGGUCCAACUUAUGCAUGAAGAGGCCCAUCUGGAAAGAUCUAGAGAAUGAGGCAGAGUCAAAACAGAGCCUAGACAAGAGCAAGGGUGAUGUGACAAAGAUGCUAUCAGCAAGAGGCUUGACGAGAUAUACAAGUGACUUGAACCUGUUGAUGCAGAUGCAGCAGAAGCUCGUGCGGCAUCAAUCCUGGAGGGUCUCAGUUUCACUCCAGAAGUGCAAUGCAGAAAUACAAGAUCAUUUUCGAGAAUAGUGCUAGCACGUGCUCUAUUCACUGAGCCAGAUUUACUGCUAUUUGAUGAGCCAACAGCGAGUUCAGAAUAUUUAAUAUAUAUUGUUGAUUCUCUUCUCUUGCUGCCACAUCCUAAUGCUAACAAGCCAUUACUUUGCAGAACCAUCUUUAUCUCCAUGCUGUGUUAUGGUUAGAAAUUUAGAAACAUAUCUCCUGAAGUGGCCAAAGGCAUUCAUUGUUGUGUGCCAUGCUCAGAGAGUUUCUGAAUACGGUUGUCACCGACGUUCUUCACCUACAUGCCUACGAAGGUGACUGACACAUUUGAGAGGACAAGGGGGAGCACCUCAAAGAAUCAGCUGAAAGCCUUCGAAACAUAUGAGAAGGCUAGAGGGCACAUGCAGGUUUUCACAUUGUUUUGAUUCUCUGGGAAGUUUGCCAAAAGAAGAGCAUAUGCUGAUAUUAUGGGACCUUUUUUUAAGAAAUAUUCCAUGGUCACUUUGAUGAGCAGGAAAACUCACUCGUUAGAACAAUAUGGUCACGGAUUUCUCAAGAACUGGGCAUUCACACAGUGUGUGUGUGUGUGUGCGCGUGUGUGUGUGAACACCAUCAGGCACAGGAAUCUUUUGAUACUGAAUGCCGGUCAGGUAGUAUUGAAUAUUGACCCCCUUCCGAAGGUAUUAUGGCAUCUUGAUGAAGACAGAGUUAUGAAGCACCUUGAACAGAUCAAUGCAAUGAUUCAGCCCAAGGAAUAUGACCCGUCCUGUCAUGGUGCAGAAGUUAUUUUCGUAAUGUUCAAAAUGUAGUAAUACGGAUGAACUUCAAGUGAGAAUUUCUAAUCUUAAUCUCGCGGUGUUCAAGAAGGCGCCCACAAAAUCAAUUGACACCAUCCCUUCUCUGAUUAUCCACACAGAUCAAGAGAGAUAUACUGGCUGGGACAAUCUUUUAACCAUGAAGCCCUCUCACGGGUCAGACAUUGAACACAUAAUUCUUCUUAGUGAGGAAGUUUUGUCUUCAGUGAAGGAGGAUGACGGAUUUACUGCUUCAGAUCUGUUGAAAAAUCACUCUGUCCAAAGAAUGCCAUUUGAAGAUAGACAUGUGUCCUUAAAACAGCAGACACGUAGUGAUAUUAGUGCCUCUUCUAGGAAGUCAAUUCUUGGAGAAGCAGAAAUUGCUGUGACAACACAAGGUGGGUGUGGAGGUGAUAUUUAUUGAGUUUGCUCGGAAACUGCUUCAGCCUUUGAAAUAUGGGAAUUUCUCUGAGCAAGCUUUGUUUGAUGUUGUUAUCGAUGAAGCUGCACAGGUGGGGUUUCAGACUCUCGAUACUAACUACUCUCUUUCAAAUAAAGCUAGCUUUAUAUUUUAUAUUUAUUAUGCUGAACAGUGGGCUUCUUUUGGUUUACUCCUUUAGGCUCUUGAGCCUGUUAUUUUGAUUCCACUUCAGCUACUCAAGUCGAAAGGAACUAAGUGCAGAAUGGUAGCGUGCUCUGUCUUACAUAUGAAACAAACAUUACAGUGCAGAAUAGUAACGUCUCUUUUUAAGUACCGAAUGGAUCCUGACAUUAGCAGAUUCCCACCGUAUGAAUAAACAGCUGGAUGGUGCUCAGAAGACUGAGAAAUCAGGUUAUUCUAUGAUCACAAUUGUCUUGGUCCAUUCAUGUUCUUCGAUAUUGCUGAUGGUCGUAAGCGUUGUGGAACCAUGAUUUUAAAUAGCAUGACAUAGCAUUUAGAAGAGGUCCGCCGCCAAGAGUCAUAGCCCGCUAUAUUUAAAACUAUGUGUGGAACAAAUGCUGCUGCACAGUCACUCUGUAAUCAAUUAGAAGGUGAUGCAGCACUUGAAAUACUGUCAUCUUUAAAGAACAAGGGUAUUGUCUUUGCUUUCAUGGUUUCGCCACCUACUUGAGAUGGUCUUAUUUUGCCUGCCUACUUGAGGGGCGGUCUUAUUUUGCAGGUAACUGAGGUUUCUAUACUUGCUUUGUGAACAGAUAUACAUCAGAUUUCUCCUGUAGAAAGAUAUUAGGGAUCAUAGCUCCAUAAACAAGUCAACUCUCUUAGCUGUGCUUGAGGUUCAAUUUUUUUUGUGGCUUGAGAUUGUUGCUGAGAUGGAAAUCAAUACUGUGGAUGGAUUUCAAGGUCAGUAAGUUGACAUCUUGUACCAGAGAUAACCUUAAUUAAACACAGCAUGUGCCUGAUUUAGCCUGCGUUUUCUGUUCUGAAACAGAAACUUGUGGUCACCUGUCUUUUAAUGUUCAGUUACUCUGGAGGCGUGUCGUGCUGUUGUUAAUCUUACUGGCUUUAUGGAUGAAUAAGCCAUGCAAAUAACAUUUUUUGUGUUUGCAAGGAGCGAAACGAGAUAAAACUCAUCUAUUUGUAGUCGUUUGGAUCUUGAUGCGUUCCCGGUAAACCCUGUUGCUGUUUGUUUUCCGUUUUGUGUGACAUACAUAUCUCUUUCACUGUGAGGCCCCAAUGUGGAUUCCUCAGAGUCACAGAUUGAUCAGUGGAGGAAGGAGUUUGGAAGGGGAUGAGACGAGGAGCGGAGCACUAGUACUGUAGGUGAGAUUCACAACAGUCUGUAUUUCUUCAGAUAACAGGCACGGUUCAGAACUUCAGAUACAUAUACAGAGGGUAUACACAAUGCCAUGGCUGGCACACAGGCCACUCACACACGCGACGUAUGCUCAUUCAACGACC
rnacentral:rRNA from 1 species